GGGCUCUUUCCAGGUGAAGCGGGAGGGCAUCAUAGGCCAACCAGGAACAGAAGGGGUGAAUACCGUUGUGAGGGUUCACACAGGAGGUGACAACUAGGUCUUUCUCUACUGUGCCUCUCCACCCUUGUUCCUCAGGACUCCUGUGUGCGACAGGCCCAGCACUGUCAGCGGCUCACCAAGUUGAUAACUCUGCAGAUUCACUUUCUGAACACUGGCCAGAACACAAUGCUCAUCAACUUGGGCCGCCACAAGCUGAUGGACUGUAUUCUGGCCCUACCUCGGUUCUACCAGGCUUCUAUUGUGGCUGAGGCCUACGAUUUUGUUCCAGAUUGGGCUGAAAUUUUAUACCAGCAAGUGAUUCUUAAAGGAGACUUUAAUUACUUGGAAGAAUUUAAGCAGCAAAGGUUAUUAAAGUCCAGUAUAUUUGAAGAGAUUUC
rnacentral:lncRNA from 1 species